UACGAAGGGAGCUAGCGUUGUUCGGAAUCACUGGGCGUAAAGCGCACGUAGGCGGAUGUGUCAGUCAGGGGUGAAAUCCCGGAGCUCAACUUCGGAACUGCCUUUGAUACAGCACGUCUUGAGUCCGAUAGAGGUGGGUGGGAUUCCUAGUGUAGAGGUGAAAUUCGUAGAUAUUAGGAAGAACACCGGUGGCGAAGGCGGCCCACUGGAUCGGUACUGACGCUGAGGUGCGAAAGCGUGGGGAGCAAACAGG
rnacentral:rRNA from 1 species